AAACAUCUAGUUUAUAUAAAACAUUUGAUUUCGGCUCAAAAACUUGUGGUUAAACUCCGCAGUUGUUUA
rnacentral:tRNA from 1 species